rnacentral:lncRNA from 1 species
GGGAUCUCUGGUUUAUCUGCUUUGAAGAACAUCUGUAGCAGAAGAACGAGGACUGUGUCUGCUCUAUAGUCUCAGAGGAAGGCAGUAAAAGAUGACACAGUGGCUUCUUGCUGUCUCAUACUGAAUGCACCACCUGCGAAGAUAUGACUGAAGGCAAAAAGAAGGCAGUCUUCAUGGAGAGAAAACUUAACCCUUGCUAAAGGGGGUGUUUCAAAAGGCUGAAGUGCUAUUCACAUGAAAAAAAUGAGAAGGAUCAUAAACUCUAACAGAUUAAAUGUAUAAAUAAAACUUAACUGUCCAAAAGAGUUUGAGGAACAACUCACAGAAGUAAUAAAUCUU